AACGAACGCUGGCGGCAUGCCUAACACAUGCAAGUCGAACGAGACCUUCGGGUCUAGUGGCGCACGGGUGCGUAACGCGUGGGAACCUGCCCUUAGGUUCGGAAUAACUCCCCGAAAGGGGUGCUAAUACCGGAUAAUGUCUUCGGACCAAAGAUUUAUCGCCUUUGGAUGGGCCCGCGUUGGAUUAGCUAGUUGGUAGGGUAAAAGCCUACCAAGGCGACGAUCCAUAGCUGGUCUGAGAGGAUGAUCAGCCACACUGGGACUGAGACACGGCCCAGACUCCUACGGGAGGCAGCAGUGGGGAAUAUUGGACGCUGGGCGAAAGCCUGAUCCAGCAAUGCCGCGUGAGUGAUGAAGGCCUUAGGGUUGUAAAGCUCUUUUACCCGGGAUGAUAAUGACAGUACCGGGAGAAUAAGCUCCGGCUAACUCCGUG
rnacentral:rRNA from 1 species